GAUGAAGAACGUAGCGAAAUGCGAUACGUAAUGUGAAUUGCAGAUUUCAGUGAAUCAUCGAAUCUUUGAACGCACAUUGCGCCCGCCAGUAUUCUGGCGGGCAUGCCUGUUCGAGCGUCAUUUCAACCAUCAAGCGCCUCGCUUGUGUUGGGGCCCUGCGGCUGCCGCAGGCCCCUAAAUCCAGUGGCGGGCUCGUCGUCGUACCGAGUGCAGUAAACAUCCUCGCUCAGGGAACCCGACGGGUGCCGGCCGUGAAACCCCCCCUCCUCAAGGUUGACCUCGGAUCAGGUAGGAAUACCCGCUGAACUUAAGCAUAUCAAUAAGGGAGGA
rnacentral:misc_RNA from 1 species